rnacentral:rRNA from 1 species
UACGUAGGUGGCAAGCGUUGUCCGGAAUUAUUGGGCGUAAAGCGCGCGCAGGCGGUUCUUUAAGUCUGAUGUGAAAGCCCACGGCUCAACCGUGGAGGGUCAUUGGAAACUGGAGAACUUGAGUACAGAAGAGGAAAGCGGAAUUCCACGUGUAGCGGUGAAAUGCGUAGAGAUGUGGAGGAACACCAGUGGCGAAGGCGGCUUUCUGGUCUGUAACUGACGCUGAGGAGCGAAAGCGUGGGGAGCGAACAGG